GGAGAGCCUGGAAGGACUAAGAAGUAGUAACAAGGUGGAGAAGUCUGUGCUGUGAAGAACUGCCCCCAAGAAAUAUCACUGAGAAGAGAAUGAGACAGCUGCUGCUGCAUUGGUGCUUCUGUAUCCUGUAGGAUUAGCAGGUGGUUAUACUUCUGAAAGGUUCAGGGCACGUCUCCCUCUCAGGAAAUGUUGGAAUGCACAAACUUCUUCUCAAGUACAAUGAGGAAUCAAAAGAAGAAGCUUCAGGAGGUGAAAUAAACUUCUGAAAGACAAAACUGUAAAGCAAAUGAUGGUUAUCACUUCAAUAAGCUAUUUGUAAUGAAGAAGAGCAUCUAAGAAAAACAUUGCUUUCUGUUUAUUAAAUUUUGCAGUAAGGAAAUUUGUCAAACGUUAGUGUAAGUCCAGCUACUUACAAGCAUACCUCUGGCAUAUGCCAGUGUGGCAGGUAAUUUAGACUCUUGUACGUCACUUUAGAUUUCUGACCCCUCUGCAGUAGUUGAAGGGAGCCUGACCAACAAUGAAAUCUCUAAGUAAUUAGAAGCCAAUCCUUGUGUUUACUGCCCAGCUAAUCUCUUGUUACACUUUUAAUAUGCUAUUGCAUUUCAGCAAAGUUUUUCUUCCAAUUCUGAAAAACCUUGCAUAAGUAAUUCCCAUUCAUAACAAUACAUUUAUGUCAUUUAUUUACUAAAUCAUUCUAGCUGGUAAGCACAAACGCUGUUUAUUGUUUAAAGAUCCCAGAAAUUCAGUAUUUCUCCAAUGCAACUCUAGUGGAGACUAAACUAGGAAAUCAAGUUAGCAGAAGUGCUGGUGUAGGAUUAAUAUAGUGAAAAAAACCCACAACCAUGGCUUAUUUUCAAAAUUUGACAGACAGGUAUUAUACUGAUCAUCUUUUUAAACUGAUUGUAUCUUGGAGAUUACACUGAUAUGUUAAUAGCAGCUUCUGAUGUUAAGUUGAUAAUGUCAUUUUUGUAUUGGCACAACACUGGUAGAUUGACAAGACCUAAAUUCUGUGGCAAGACACAGCAAGAUUUAGAGAGGAACAGAAGGAGCUGAAAACAUGAUGAAAGAGAGGGAAGUGAUCAGAUCAGGCUGUAUCCUUUGACUUAUUGGAAGGAUUUUCUGUUAACUUCUUGCUAAUCACACAAUACAUACAUGAAAUUUAGUUCUUGAACUUACUGCUUUGAAACUAGAUACUGAACAAUUUCUAUCUGCUGCUAAAUUGCAGAUUUUCAGUUUCCAACAACUCCAAGCUAUCCAAUAUAUUGCUGCAUGUAAAUGUAGCAGGCCUGUACCUGCUCAGGAAUAUGAAGGACCUCCUGGAUUUGUUUUUACAAGGAGGACAUCCUGAUUUUUUUGUCAGGGUAUGUGACAUAAUCAUCAUGAGAUUGUCACUGUUGUAUAAUUCUACAAGGAAAUGACAGGUUCACAGAUCAUUCUGUAUCUGAUUUGGCCUGAAACCCUGCUGUUAUCUCUCACUUCUGAUCACUUGAAUGUGGAAACAUUUCUGGGCUCCGAACAAUUUGAAAGGGAUUACAUAUGCAACACAAAAAGCAAUAUUCAAAGGGGAAAGUUUCAGCCUGACUUUUAAAAGUGUUUGGCAAAGGACAUCCAGUGAGUUAAAAGGGCUGGGAGUUCCAGACAGAAGGAACAGGGUAUGCAAAUAUUCAAUUAGCACCAGUAUGAGGGUGAGACUUUGGAAGAAACAGAACAAUUUAGAGAUGAAUCUCUGGGAGAAUUGGCAGCAAUGUAGGUGACAAGGAAGUCAUAUAAAUCAUGUCAUGAAAAAAGCAUGGAAUGUUUGAUAGCAAGCAACGAAAAACAUAUGAAAACAGGGCAGCACAUUACCCAAUUAGAAGCAAAUGCAAUGAGAACAUUUCAGGGUAAUGCAGGGAUCGGCUUACUUCUAGGCAAGGGUCCAGCUCACAAAUUAUAGAAUGGCUACUGUGGAAGCAAAGUGUGUAUAAGAAAGUAGGCGUGAAGAUGAUUAAAAUAACCAGGCCUGCUCAUGA